rnacentral:tRNA from 1 species
GGGGCGGUAGCUCAGUUGGCAGAGCACCUGCUUUGCAAGCAGGGGGUCAAGGGUUCGAUUCCCUUCCGCUCCA